UUAUAUUUAACAGGAAGCCCCUGAAUCAUUAAGAAUCAAACCCUUAAAUGCAAUAUACAUUAAAAUAUA
rnacentral:tRNA from 1 species